rnacentral:lncRNA from 1 species
UGAGGCUCGAAAAAAAGUCGAUUCGGAUAAGUGAGAUUCAAGACAAUAAAGUUUAUAGUCAUUGUCAAAUUAUUGAUAAUUGUUUAUACUUAUGUUGAAUUUAUAAAUGGUGCCAAUCACGUGUAGUAGGGGUUAGGUAAAUUUUUUUUUUAAUUUAAAAAAAGAAAAGAAAAAGGAUAUAGUAUAUUAGUCCCCGUUUGGCCUCCAUUCUUGCCAAAUUUUAAUGGUUGGAAUAGUGUUUUUUUUAUUUUAUAAAAUGUGUGGUUGAAAAAGAAAGAAUUUUUUUUGAUUUGUGUGUAAUAUUAAUUUAUGGAAGAUUAUGUGGUUGAAAAUAAGAGAGAGAAAAAGAAAGAGAAUGAGAAAGGAGACCAAACGGGGGCAUUAUAUUAUGUACUUUUUGACCUAGUACAUGACAUAUCGUGAUUUGGGCCAGAAAAUUUGGCACUACUGAUUAUAUGAUCCCAUAUGGAGGUUUGGUAAUACCGAAAGUCAGGUCCUAUGUUGUUGUCCAAAAGGCUUGUUGUGGGCUAGAAUACAGAGUGUUACCACACCCCCACUAUGUUGGUAUCAGAGCCAUGUUGUUAUCUUGAUCUUAUUAUUCUGAUUGGAAUUAUCCAGCUUGAAAGAAACUAGGAAGAACACAUUAAAAAUUAUGUCUGAAUCUUCUAGUUCAUCUAUAUUAGCACCCUUCACCUCCUUUCGAAAAUCUAAUACUUCUAAAAUCGACUCCCUUUAUGAAAUAUCUUACCUACUUGAAUCUGAAAAAAUUCCAGUUACAGAUCUACCUCUUGUCAAUCCUUACCUUCCAUAUAACAAACCUCGAAAUUCCUUCACCAAAACUGUUAAAAGUAUCAUUUCACCAUCAAAAUCCCAAAUCAAAGAAUAUGUUCAGGCAUCAAAGUUUGAUCAGCAUCUUCUACCUGCUACUGAAAAGGAACAGUUUGUUACCUUAGAUUUACCAUCUCAUCUUCCAAAAGUAUGGUUAUCUGAAGGUUUUACCCAUCUUCAUUUUGGAGCUGUAAAAAUUGCGCUUAAC